rnacentral:rRNA from 1 species
GACGAACCGAGCGAACGUUGUUCGGAAUCACUGGGCUUAAAGGGCGCGUAGGCGGGCUGUCAAGUCUGGGGUGAAAUCCCUCGGCUUAACCGGGGAACUGCGUCCGAUACUGGAUGGCUUGAGUAUGGGAGAGGGAUGCGGAAUUCCAGGUGUAGCGGUGAAAUGCGUAGAUAUCUGGAGGAACACCGGUGGCGAAGGCGGCAUCCUGGACCAUUACUGACGCUGAGGAGCGAAAGCCAGGGGAGCAAACGGG